rnacentral:rRNA from 1 species
GUGCAGCAGUCGCGAAACCUCCGCAAUGCGGGAAACCGCGACGGGGGACCCCGAGUGCCGUGGCAACGCCACGGCUUUUCCGGAGUGUAAAAAGCUCCGGGAAUAAGGGCUGGGCAAGGCCGGUGGCAGCCGCCGCGGUAAUACCGGCGACCCGAGUGGUGGCCGGCUAUUAUUGGGCCUAAAGCGUCCGUAGCCGGGCCCGUAAGUCCCUGGCGAAAGUCCCACGGCUCAACCGUGGGGCUUGCUGGGGAUACUGCGGGUCUUGGGACCGGGAGAGGCGGGGGGUACCCCUGGGGUAGGGGUGAAAUCCUAUAAUCCCCAGGGGGACCGCCAGUGGCGAAGGCGCCCCGCUGGAACGGGUCCGACGGUGAGGGACGAAGG